rnacentral:rRNA from 1 species
UACGGAGGGUGCAAGCGUUAAUCGGAAUUACUGGGCGUAAAGCGCACGCAGGCGGUCUGUCAAGUCGGAUGUGAAAUCCCCGGGCUCAACCUGGGAACUGCAUUCGAAACUGGCAGGCUAGAGUCUUGUAGAGGGGGGUAGAAUUCCAGGUGUAGCGGUGAAAUGCGUAGAGAUCUGGAGGAAUACCGGUGGCGAAGGCGGCCCCCUGGACAAAGACUGACGCUCAGGUGCGAAAGCGUGGGAAGCAAACAGGAUUAGAUACCCUGGUAGUCCACGCCGUAAACGAUGUCGAGUUGGAGGUUGUGCCCUUGAGGCGUGGCUUCCGGAGCUAACGCAUUAAGCACUCCGCCUGGGGAGUACGACCGCAAGGUUGAA